AGCUUUGUGCAGUGGAGUAUUGUAGCCUAUGAAGGUCUACUGAGGCGUGAUUAUUGCUAUUUGAAAACUUUAUCCAAUAUCCUGUGAAGUCUGUUUUUUUGACAGACUUGAUAAUUUUUUAUCUUUUCUCUGGAGA